UACGUAGGGGGCAAGCGUUGUCCGGAAUUACUGGGCGUAAAGCGCGCGUAGGCGGCUUUGUAAGUCAGAGGUGAAAGCCUGGAGCUCAACUCCAGAACUGCCUUUGAAACUACAUCGCUAGAAUCAUGGAGAGGUUAGUGGAAUUCCGAGUGUAGAGGUGAAAUUCGUAGAUAUUCGGAAGAACACCAGUGGCGAAGGCGACUAACUGGACAUGUAUUGACGCUGAGGUGCGAAAGCGUGGGGAGCAAACAGG
rnacentral:rRNA from 1 species